rnacentral:rRNA from 2 species
CUGGGAUAACUCCGGGAAACCGGAGCUAAUACCGGAUAGUUCCUUGAACCGCAUGGUUCAAGGAUGAAAGACGGUUUCGGCUGUCACUUACAGAUGGACCCGCGGCGCAUUAGCUAGUUGGUGAGGUAACGGCUCACCAAGGCGACGAUGCGUAGCCGACCUGAGAGGGUGAUCGGCCACACUGGGACUGAGACACGGCCCAGACUCCUACGGGAGGCAGCAGUAGGGAAUCUUCCGCAAUGGACGAAAGUCUGACGGAGCAACGCCGCGUGAGUGAUGAAGGUUUUCGGAUCGUAAAGCUCUGUUGUUAGGGAAGAACAAGUGCAAGAGUAACUGCUUGCACCUUGACGGUACCUAACCAGAAAGCCACGGCUAACUACGUGCCAGCAGCCGCGGUAAUACGUAGGUGGCAAGCGUUGUCCGGAAUUAUUGGGCGUAAAGGGCUCGCAGGCGGUUUCUUAAGUCUGAUGUGAAAGCCCCCGGCUCAACCGGGGAGGGUCAUUGGAAACUGGGAAACUUGAGUGCAGAAGAGGAGAGUGGAAUUCCACGUGUAGCGGUGAAAUGCGUAGAGAUGUGGAGGAACACCAGUGGCGAAGGCGACUCUCUGGUCUGUAACUGACGCUGAGGAGCGAAAGCGUGGGGAGCGAACAGGAUUAGAUACCCUGGUAGUCCACGCCGUAAACGAUGAGUGCUAAGUGUUAGGGGGUUUCCGCCCCUUAGUGCUGCAGCUAACGCAUUAAGCACUCCGCCUGGGGAGUACGGUCGCAAGACUGAAACUCAAAGGAAUUGACGGGGGCCCGCACAAGCGGUGGAGCAUGUGGUUUAAUUCGAAGCAACGCGAAGAACCUUACCAGGUCUUGACAUCCUCUGACAACCCUAGAGAUAGGGCUUUCCCUUCGGGGACAGAGUGACAGGUGGUGCAUGGUUGUCGUCAGCUCGUGUCGUGAGAUGUUGGGUUAAGUCCCGCAACGAGCGCAACCCUUGAUCUUAGUUGCCAGCAUUCAGUUGGGCACUCUAAGGUGACUGCCGGUGACAAACCGGAGGAAGGUGGGGAUGACGUCAAAUCAUCAUGCCCCUUAUGACCUGGGCUACACACGUGCUACAAUGGACAGAACAAAGGGCUGCGAGACCGCAAGGUUUAGCCAAUCCCACAAAUCUGUUCUCAGUUCGGAUCGCAGUCUGCAACUC